AGUAGAGCCAGGCAGGCCUGGGCCCCUGGGGACCCCCAGCCUUCGAAGCAAGGCCUCACUUCCUGGAGAACAGGGGCGCAGGGACCACCGUCCUGAGCACCAAGGACGCGCCCCGUGCUGCCUCGAGUGACCCUGGGCCUUCCGCCCGCACCUUCCCCUGGGUGUCUGGACACUGGGAGAAGAGUCCUGGCGAGGCGAGAAUGAGGCCCCAGGAAGAGUGAAGAUGGGAGGGGAGGAAUGAGGAGGUCCGGUGCGCCCGCCCCGACUGUGCUCUGUAGCAUUUCCCAGGCAGAUAAAGCGCCGAGGCCUCGGUCAGCACCAGGCGCCUGCUCACUGCGGGGUGGGGUGGGGGUGCCUCCACCCUGCUGUUACUUCGAGACUCACACAGAACCUGGCCUGGA
rnacentral:lncRNA from 1 species